rnacentral:rRNA from 1 species
UACGGAGGAUGCAAGCGUUAUCCGGAAUGAUUGGGCGUAAAGCGUCCGCAGGUGGCUGUGUAAGUCUGCUGUCAAAGAGCGAAGCUCAACUUCGUAAAGGCAGUGGAAACUACACGGCUAGAGUGCGUUCGGGGCAGAGGGAAUUCCUGGUGUAGCGGUGAAAUGCGUAGAGAUCAGGAAGAACACCGGUGGCGAAGGCGCUCUGCUAGGCCGCAACUGACACUGAGGGACGAAAGCUAGGGGAGCGAAUGGG